UGCCACAGCCAUGUCACCCUGCAGCCCAAGACUGGUUACUCACUGAAGCUAAGCAGGUUGAGCCUGGUUAGUAUCUGAAUGGGAGACCACAUGGGAAAACUAGGUUGCUGUUGGAA
rnacentral:rRNA from 1 species